rnacentral:lncRNA from 1 species
GGGUGCACGCGCACGCGCAGGUGGAAGGCUUCUUUACCGGCGUGCUUGACCAUGUACUUGUUGGCAGCCACACGAGCAGCCUCCAGGCCCUCACUGGUCACGUGCUCCUUCUCCCAACUGCAAUUAAUCCAGGGGGCAGGCAGUAAAACCAUGAGGGCACGAUACACGAGACAAACUGCAUGCAUCCAAAAGGAAAAGGCUCAGGGGAUGCCUGUACCUUGAGGUGAGCAAGCCUGCUUCCAAGAACUCGGCUUAGCCCAUGAGUCCAUGCAGACUGCACAGUGCUGGACCAUGCACAGACUGCACGGUGCAGUCCAGCACUGGCGAACCUCACAAACCCAAAGCGUUCGUGAUGCUCUUCCUUAUUGUUUCCUUCAUCCAUCCCCAUGCGCAAAAGAGCUAGCGUCAUACCUGCUCUCUAUGGAGCUCCUUGUCCUGUCCAAGCCCCUCCUCUCCAUGAGACCUUCAAGUCCUGACCCUUAAUCCAAUGCUCCCCCUCCAACUCAUGAAGCAAUUUGGAUGGCAUGUUGAAACUUUGCUUAUUGCACAUGCAUGAGAGCACCACUCCCGCAGUCCCAUGCAAGCACCAAACUCUGCUGUCCCUUCCUCCCUGCACAACCGACCUGGCAAGGUGCACGCAGGCGGGGAAAAGGUCCACAUCGGCCCUCUUCUGACCAGCGUCGUAGAUACGGAUCUUGGGGUCAGGCACACCACGGCAGUAGCGCGACUUGGGGUAGGGCUUGCCCUUCUGCUGGCGGUAGCAGCGUGCUGGGCGGCGUCCCAUGUUGCCGCC